rnacentral:rRNA from 1 species
UCUUUGGAGCUUGCUUUGGAGAUUUCUAGUGGCGGACGGGUGAGUAACACGUGAGUAACCUGCCUUGAAGUGGGGGAUAGCCCGGGGAAACUCGGAUUAAUACCGCAUAUGGUCUUCGGAUCAAAGAUGGCGUAAGCUGUCGCUUCGAGAUGGGCUCGCGGCCUAUCAGCUAGUUGGUGAGGUAACGGCUCACCAAGGCGACGACGGGUAGCUGGUCUGAGAGGACGAUCAGUCACACUGGAACUGAGACACGGUCCAGACACCUACGGGUGGCAGCAGUCGAGAAUCAUUCGCAAUGGACGCAAGUCUGACGGUGCGACGCCGCGUGGAGGAUGAAGGCCUUAGGGUCGUAAACUCCUGUCAUCAGGGAGUAAGGCUUUAUAUAGUAACUGAUAUAAGGAUUGAUAGUACCUGAAGAGGAAGGGACGGCUAACUUCGUGCCAGCAGCCGCGGUAAUACGAAGGUCCCAAGCGUUGUUCGGAUUUACUGGGCGUAAAGCGUCUGUAGGCGG